rnacentral:rRNA from 1 species
CAAUAGCGUAUAUUAAAGUUGUUGCAGUUAAAAAGCUCGUAGUUGGAUUUCUGGCAGGAGCGACCGGUCACACACUCUGUGUGUGAACUUGCGUUGUCUCUGGCCAUCCUUGGGAAGAUCCUGUUUGGCAUUAAGUUGUCGGGCAGGGGAUACCCAUCGUUUACUGUGAAAAAAUUAGAGUGUUUAAAGCAGGCUUAUGCCGUUGAAUAUAUUAGCAUGGAAUAAUAAGAUAGGACUUCGGAACUAUUUUGUUGGUUUGCGUUACGAAGUAAUGAUUAAUAGGGACAGUUGGGGGUAUUCGUAUUUCGUUGUCAGAGGUGAAAUUCUUGGAUUUCCGAAAGACGAACUACUGCGAAAGCAUUUACCAAGGAUGUUUUCAGUAA